rnacentral:rRNA from 1 species
UUGGGUCCGGCAUAACUCCGGGAAACUGGAGAUAAUUCCGGAUAACGCAUAUAUGCUGGAAUGCUUUAUGCGUAAAAUGGAUUCGUCUGCCCAAGGAUGGGUCUGCGGCCUAUCAGGUAGUAGUGGGUGUAAUGUACCUACUAGCCUACGACGGGUACGGGUUGUGAGAGCAAGAGCCCGGAGAUGGAUUCUGAGACAUGAAUCCAGGCCCUACGGGGCGCAGCAGGCGCGAAAACUUUACAAUGCGGGAAACCGUGAUAAGGGGACACCGAGUGCCAGCAUCAUAUGCUGGCUGUCCAGGUGUGUAAAAUACACCUGUUAGCAAGGGCCGGGCAAGACCGGUGCCAGCCGCCGCGGUAACACCGGCGGCCCGAGUGGUGAUCGUGAUUAUUGGGUCUAAAGGGUCCGUAGCCGGUUUGGUCAGUCCUCCGGGAAAUCUGAUAGCUUAACUAUUAGGCUUUCGGAGGAUACUGCCAGACUUGGAACCGGGAGAGGUAAGAGGUACUACAGGGGUAGGAGUGAAAUCUUGUAAUCCCUGUGGGACCACCUGUGGCGAAGGCGUCUUACCAGAACGGGUUCGACGGUGAGGGACGAAAGCUGGGGGCACGAACCGGAUUAGAUACCCGGGUAGUCCCAGCCGUAAACGAUGCUCGCUAGGUGUCAGGCAUGGCGCGACCGUGUCUGGUGCCGCAGGGAAGCCGUGAAGCGAGCC